rnacentral:tRNA from 1 species
GCGUCCUUUGUCUGCGGAAGGCGGUUAGUCUGCAAAACUAAUGAAGUGAGUUCGACUCUCACAGGACGCUCCA